rnacentral:rRNA from 1 species
GACAGAGGGUGCAAACGUUGCUCGGAAUCACUGGGCGUAAAGGGCGUGUAGGCGGGCAGGCAAGUCGGGCGUGAAAGCCCUGGGCUCAACCUGGGAAUUGCAUUGGAUACUGGCAGGCUAGAGUGCGGUAGAGGAUGGCGGAAUUCCCGGUGUAGCAGUGAAAUGCGUAGAGAUCGGGAGGAACAUCUGUGGCGAAGGCGGCCAUCUGGACCAGCACUGACACUGAGGCACGAAAGCGUGGGGAGCAAACAGG